ACUGAAAGUAGAAGUCACUCCUCCCCUCCUCAGAAGAAAACUUGUUACUUUCCGUAAGUGUCUACUGGUGAAGGCAUCCCUCCCUGGUGGUUCUUUAAGCCACAAAACAUUGUCCAAGCUUGUGUGACAUCAGCCCUGUCAAGUGUCCAUGAUGCUGGGCCCUGAGGGAGGUGAAGGUUAUGUGAUCAAACUCCGUGGCCUACCGUGGUUUUGCUCAAUUGAGGACGUACAAAACUUCCUCUCCCACUGCACAAUUCAUGGUGGGGUCACAGGUGUUCAUUUCAUUUACACUAGAGAAGGCGCAGAGUGGUGAGGCUUUUGCUGAACCUGAGACAGAUUAUUAAAACUGGCUCUGAAAAAAGACACGGGGAGCAUGGGACACCGAAAUAUUGAGGUGUUCAAGUCACACAGAAUGGAGAUGGAUUGGGUGUUGAAGCACAGUGGUCCAAACAGCGCUGACAUUGCCAAUGAUGGCUUUGUGAGGCUUCAGGGACUCCUGUUUGGAUGUACAAAGGAAGAAAUUGUUCAGUUCGUCUCAGGGUUGGAAAUUGUGCCAAAUGGGAUCACAUUACCUGUGGACCCAGAGGCAAGAUUACAGGGGAGGCCUUCGUGCAGUUUGCCUCACAGGAGUUAGCUGAGAAAGCUCUGGGGAAGCAUAAGAAGAGAAUAGGGCACAGGUAUAUUGAAGUGUUCAAGAGCAGUCAGGAGGAAGUAAGGUCAUACUCAGAUCCACCUCUGAAGUUCAUGUCUGUGCAGAGGACUGGGCCUUAUGACUGGCCUGGCACAGCCUGGAGGUACAUUGGCAUUGUGAAGCAGGCAGGCCUGGAUAGGAUGAGGUCUAGGUGCCUAUAGUGCAGGCUAUGGGGGCUACGAAGAAUACAGUGGUCUCAGCAAUGGCUAUGGCUUCACCACUGACCUUUUUUGGGAGAGACCUCAGCUACUGUCUCUCAGGAAUAUAUGACCACAGAUAUGGAGACAGCGAGUUCAUAGCCCAGAGCACCACUGGCCACUGUGUCCACAUGAGGGGGCUGCCCUACAAAGCAACAGAGAACGACAUUUACUUCUCUCCACUCAACUCUGUAAGAGUUCAUAUUGAGAUUGGCCUGAUGGAAGAGUGAUGGGGAAAGCUGAUGUUGAGUUUACCACCCAUGAAGAAGCGGUGGCAGCUAUGUCGAAGGACAGGGCCAACAUGCAACAUAGAUACAUAGAACUUUUCCUGAACUCAACAACCGGGGCCAGCAAUGGGGUUUAUAGCAGUUAGGUGAUGCAGGGCACGGGCGUUGCAGUGGCUCAGGCCACCUAUAGUGGCUUGGAGAGCCAGUCAGUGAGUGGCUGUUAUUGGGCUGGCUACAGCCGUCAGAACAAUAUGGGCAGAUAUGAUUAG